GGUUGUGACUCAGUGGUAGAGCACUUGCCUAGCAUGUGUGAGGCACUGGGUUCGAUUCUCAGCACCA
rnacentral:tRNA from 1 species